GAUGAACGCUGGCGGCGUGCCUAAUACAUGCAAGUCGAGCGAACGGACGAGAAGCUUGCUUUUCUGAUGUUAGCGGCGGACGGGUGAGUAACACGUGGAUAACCUACCUAUAAGACUGGGAUAACUUCGGGAAACCGGAGCUAAUACCGGAUAAUAUUUUGAACCGCAUGGUUCAAAAGUGAAAGACGGUCUUGCUGUCACUUAUAGAUGGAUCCGCGCUGCAUUAGCUAGUUGGUAAGGUAACGACUUACCAAGGCAACGAUGCAUAGCCGACCUGAGAGGGUGAUCGGCCACACUGGAACUGAGACACGGUCCAGACUCCUACGGGAGGCAGCAGUAGGGAAUCUUCCGCAAUGGGCGAAAGCCUGACGGAGCAACGCCGCGUGAGUGAUGAAGGUCUUCGGAUCGUAAAACUCUGUUAUUAGGGAAGAACAUAUGUGUAAGUAACUGUGCACAUCUUGACGGUACCUAAUCAGAAAGCCACGGCUAACUACGU
rnacentral:rRNA from 1 species